CCUACGGGUGGCAGCAGUGAGGAAUAUUGGUCAAUGGCCGAGAGGCUGAACCAGCCAAGCCGCGUGAAGGACGAAGGUCCCAUGCAUUGUAAACUUCUUUUGUCAAGGAACAAAAUCAGGCACGCGAGCGUGUCCGCGGGUACUUGAAGAACAAGCAUCGGCUAACUCCGUGCCAGCAGCCGCGGUAAUACGGAGGAUGCGAGCGUUAUCCGGAUUUAUUGGGUUUAAAGGGUGCGUAGGCGGGCUGUUAAGUCAGCGGUAAGAGCGCGGGGCUCAACCCCGGCGAGCCGUUGAAACUGGCGGUCUUGAGAGGGCGAGAGGUAGGCGGAAGGCGUAGUGUAGCGGUGAAAUGCUUAGAUAUCGCGCAGAACUCCGAUUGCGAAGGCAGCAUACCGGCGGCGAUCUGACGCUGAGGCACGAAAGCGUGGGUAUCGAACAGGAUUAGAUACCCGAGUAGUC
rnacentral:rRNA from 1 species